CCUACGGGAUGCAGCAGUGAGGAAUAUUGGUCAAUGGUCGGGAGCCUGAACCAGCCACGCCGCGUGAGGGAGGAAGGUACAGAGUAUCGUAAACCUCUUUUGCCAGGGAACAAAGGCGGGGACGUGUCCCCGGAAGAGUGUACCUGACGAAAAAGCAUCGGCAAACUCCGUCCCAGUAGCCGCGUUAAUACGGGGGAUGCGAGGGUUAUCCGGUUUUAUUGGGGUGAAGGGGUGCGAAGGCGGUGUGUUAAGUCGGCGGUCAAAGCCCGGGGCCCAACCCCGGCCCGCAGUUGAAACUGGGGGUCUCGAGUGGGAGAGAGGCAGGCGGAAUGCGCGGUGUAGCGGUGAAAUGCAUAGAUA
rnacentral:rRNA from 1 species